rnacentral:rRNA from 1 species
GCCUAACACAUGCAAGUCGAGCGGUAACAUUUCAAAAGCUUGCUUUUGAAGAUGACGAGCGGCGGACGGGUGAGUAAUGCCUGGGAAUUUGCCCAUUUGUGGGGGAUAACAGUUGGAAACGACUGCUAAUACCGCAUACGCCCUACGGGGGAAAGCAGGGGACCUUAGGGCCUUGCGCUGAUGGAUAAGCCCAGGUGGGAUUAGCUAGUAGGUGAGGUAAAGGCUCACCUAGGCGACGAUCCCUAGCUGGUCUGAGAGGAUGAUCAGCCACACUGGGACUGAGACACGGCCCAGACUCCUACGGGAGGCAGCAGUGGGGAAUAUUGCACAAUGGGGGAAACCCUGAUGCAGCCAUGCCGCGUGUGUGAAGAAGGCCUUCGGGUUGUAAAGCACUUUCAGCGAGGAGGAAAGGGUGUAAGUUAAUACCUUACAUCUGUGACGUUACUCGCAGAAGAAGCACCGGCUAACUCCGUGCCAGCAGCCGCGGUAAUACGGAGGGUGCGAGCGUUAAUCGGAAUUACUGGGCGUAAAGCGUGCGCAGGCGGUUUGUUAAGCGAGAUGUGAAAGCCCCGGGCUCAACCUGGGAACCGCAUUUCGAACUGGCAAACUAGAGUCUUGUAGAGGGGGGUAGAAUUCCAGGUGUAGCGGUGAAAUGCGUAGAGAUCUGGAGGAAUACCGGUGGCGAAGGCGGCCCCCUGGACAAAGACUGACGCUCAGGCACGAAAGC